rnacentral:rRNA from 1 species
CUCCUACGGGAGGCAGCAGUAAGGGAUAUUGCACAAUGGGCGCAAGCCUGAUGCAGCGACGCCGCGUGAGGGAUGACGGCCUUCGGGUUGUAAACCUCUUUCAGGAAGGACGAAGCGAAAGUGACGGUACUUCCAGAAGAAGCCCCGGCCAACUACGUGCCAGCAGCCGCGGUAAUACGUAGGGGGCAAACGUUGUCCGGAUUUAUUGGGCGUAAAGAGCUCGUAGGCGGCUCAGCAAGUCGGCCGUGAAAGCCCGAGGCUCAACCUCGGGAGGCCGGUCGAAACUGCUGUGGCUAGGGUCCGGUAGAGGAGAGUGGAAUUCCCGGUGUAGCGGUGAAAUGCGCAGAUAUCGGGAGGAACACCAGUAGCGAAGGCGGCUCUCUGGGCCGGUACCGACGCUGAGGAGCGAAAGCGUGGGGAGCAAACAGGAUUAGAUACCCUGGUAGUCCACGCCGUAAACGUUGGGCACUAGGUGUGGCGGACUCAUCAACGUUCGCCGUGCCGAAGCUAACGCAUUAAGUGCCCCGCCUGGGGAGUACGGCCGCAAGGCUAAAACUCAAAGGAAUUGACGG